UCCCCACCCCCAACACCCAGCACCCCCUCCUACCGCGAUUGAAAGGCUCCAAAGAUUGCGGGUGGACUACGCAGCCGGCACCCACGGGCUGCAGCGAGCGCGCCCUUUCCUGCUCAGGCUUCUUCCAGAGUCUGGUCUGCUGCGCCCUCUGCGGUGCCCCGCCGCCUCCUGUGCCCACCCCCACCGCCCAAGUGGUGUCCGCUUGCCCUAGCACCCAGCUCUCAUUUUGCCGCUCCCGCAAGAGCGCCCGUUUCCCUUCGGCGCCCCGUAGCGCCCUCGCCUUUCUACCUCUAGUGCAUGGUUCCUGGUAGCUAGAAGGGAAACUUGCUGGCGUUCCGGAGAUGCCUUGGACAGCCUAUCUGCUGGGAUUGGGGAAUUUAGCUGUGAGACUGGUUCUGCCAUCAGGCAGCCUGGCUCUUCCCUGAUCGCGAGGGGACCCGGCCAGAAUGACAGCUUGGGGAAUAGGAAGUGGGUGUUAGUUAUUAGAGGAAACUUUGCAGCCAGGCGGAUUGCUGGAGCAGAGUGCGCAUCUGUCAGAAAGGCUCUCUGGGCGCUGUUCUUGCGCAGAGCUGUGCUCUCUCUCCCUCAAGUGCAGUGGAUGGGGAAAGGAAGGGAAGGUUUGUGGCUGUAACUGCCAACGCCAAGGACCAGUUGGACACACACAGUUCCCAAUCCCAGCUAAGGAAAAGGAUGCGAUGAGUUCUGAGUAUAAAGGAGAAGUUUAGGGCAACAUUAAGUCCGGAGUAAAUGACACCGCCCCACCCCCAACCCCCACCCCGCCUAGAAAGAACUCAGAGAAUGACGCUUCAGACUUUUUGACUCCAGUACCAACACCUUAACACCCGCGUUUGUACUCUGGUACCCAUGGGAUUUUAUAAUCUGAGCUGAGUCAACACAAGGUACUAUCCCUUUUUGGUUGACGUCAUGAACUGGGAUUUCAGACUUCUUGGUAGGGUGGCUAGAUUCUCAAAAUUGCGGGAUCAGCUUUGGGAAGAGCUUUGGGAAGCAAGAAAAUAUAUAAAUACGCGAGGCGAUUAAAUCGGAAAGCAUUUAAAGUCACGCCGCAUUUCCCCCUUCACAUUGUCGAGUGAAUCUGAAACUAGAGUGUUUGACUUCACUCCUGAUGGAAGCUGAGGAUGAACCUCAGGCUGUGGUCCUCUGAUCUGCCCCCUGGGAAUGCCUCCACCUCGGGCCAUAAGAAGGAAAUCUGCAAUUAAGUUCUUGAGAAGCAAACAGUUCCCAAUUGUCUCUGAAGGGAAGGGUGCACGGUCGUGUUAUAUAAUGUUAUGUAAUGCUCUGGAGUCUCUCUUGCUUUGGAAUAAAAAGAUUAGCAUCUGGGAGGAGCAUCAACAUGUGGCCAAGCUGGUACUCUCUCACCUUGCCAAAAGACCAGCCUGGCAACUGCCCACCUGCAGCCUAACUCUUGGUAAAGUCAAAUCUGUGGAUGUGAUUUAGACUCAGGUUUGACCACCUGGGAAGUGAUUUACCCCUGCCCUGGAAUUAGCAGGCCUCAGUUCUGCCAACUUGGGGAGUUUUGAGAAUCUGGGAACGGGAACUCCACAGAGGGCAGAAGCACCCAUAGUCACCCCAGCCUUUUCAAACAAGGGUCUUUCCUUCCCCAGGCUUUUAAGGGAUGUCUGGAAGGGCUCAAAGGGCAAUCUGAAAACAGCCAGUGUUUUGGAAUGAGUUGAUAUUAAGGCUGAUCAAGAAAGGGCCUCUGGGUGCUGGGGUGCGGAGAAAUGUGGAAAGAGGCUUUCUGCUAAGUAGUGCUAUUGGGAUGCAGUGUGUCAACCUCGUGUCCCCAGGACAUGGCAUUCCUGGGGAUGAUAAGGCCAGAACUGACUCGUAGAGAUUUAAGUCAGGAGCUGGGGCUAGUUAACCUUGUGGUAUUUAUAUGUAUAAACACAUCAGGCAACAGGACCCUGAUUCACGAUUGGGUGACUGGCCUGGACCUUUCCCCCUUGAUUAUUUGGUGUUGCAUCAAGUGAUUUCUGUGGAAUAAAUACAUUCAAGUGUAAGCGUUCAAAACCCAGGAGGCUUUUGUAGCAGGGCCUUCAAUAGAGGGCUGCAGUGGACAGGAGUCUCAGAUAUUCUUAGGGACUUUCCUUAGCUGUCCUGACAGGUGAGCUUGGAUUACUGUAGCUUCUGUUAGCACAUAGACAAAGAUUUUACGUUAAAAAAAUCACUUGUCUUUGGAUAAGGAUAUGAGAUUAAGAAGAAGUUCAACAUAGCAACUGACUGCGUCUGUUUUCUGUUGCUAUGACAGGAUACCUGAACCUGGGUAAUGUAAGAAGGGCUUUUUUUUUUUUUUUUUUUUUUUUUUUUUUUUUUUUUUUUUGGCUCAGAAUUUUGAGGGUUGAGAGGUUUAAGUCCGGAGAGUUGCCUCUGGUAAAGAAGGGCCUGUGUUCAGAACAGAAAGCAGAAGGGGCGGUUUGAGUAGUAAUGACCUGCUCUUCUGCCGGAUCUCAUAGCAACUACUUAUCCAUCCUGUCACUGCUAAGCCGGCACUCAACACUCGCACCCCCUCAAACCAACCGUGUUCAAACUUAGCAUCAGCCUACACCCAUAUUACAUGCUGCAUGGUCAAAAGGUCAUUGUCCACUUGCCACUCAACGUGGAUUGGUCCGUGGGGACCCACAGUGUUUAAGAAAACAGUAGAAAGUGGCAGUGCCGAUUGCACAGCUGAGAGUCAUGAGCCCCUUCCUCAAAAGUUCGCGCACCUCCCCUCCACCUCCUUCCCCAUCUGGCUCCCCGCACCCUACAGGACACUUAGUAUUCUGUGCACACUCUCUGACUAACUCUCUAUUCCUUUCACUCUCACACACCAGAGCUGAAUGUGGAGCUCAGUACAGCAGUUACCUAGCAGGCAAAGACCCAGCUUCCCCAAUGGCAGCCUUCAGUCCCAUCACUAGCGCUAACAGCAUAGAAUUCUGUGUGUUCCCAUCACGGGAAGCUCUGCCCUGAUUUUUGGAUCCAUAAUCUUUCCACAGCUGGGGUACAUUCCGUCUUGCUUCUCCUUCCUCCCUCUGUCUUCCCUGCCUGUUGCUUCUGGAAAUAAUCUCCCACUGACCUCUGGUAACUGCAUUUCAAGUGGCCCUCGACAGAUCGCCAUUUGGCAUCCCUUAAAACAUUUUGAUCUCUGUGUGAUUUUUGCCUUUUCUAGGUCAUAUGUUUAUGAAGAGUUGAAGGAGCUAUCUUACCGUUUUUCACUGUUCCCAUGUUCAUUAAUAAUUACUUGACGUUAAUUAAUAUUUAACUUGAAUUCAUAAAUGUCAUGUUUAAUUAAAAUAUCUUUUUGCACAAAGUGAGGAGCGGUUGAAUAUUUCACAACUUGGGAUCUCCACUCGUGCUCAUAACUCACACAGACCAGUCAAUGUUUCCAUAUAAGCACCUCGAAACAUUCCUUUUAUGAGCAGAGUCUUGUUGUGUAGCCCAUUCUGUCCUGUGAUCCUGGCUGGCCUCAAGCCCACAGCAGUUGUCCUGGCUCGGGCUCCUAGGUGCUGAUAUUUUGUGACCUGCCACACUCAGCUAAUUUCUACUCACUGGGAAUGUUCUAACACUACUUAUGCCCUCCACCACCGUUCCCACCCUGGGAAGCUCGCUGAGAAUCUCAUGUUAAGUCCCUGAUCAAGUCACACAUCUGCAGUACAGUGAUCAGUGGGUACUCGUGGUUACAAGACAUUUCCACUCUGGAAAACGAAGGUGAGCAGACGGACAACUGCCGGGAGGCAGGCCCCUGAAACCCUAGGAAACACAUUGAAAUCCACUAGCAACGUCCUGGAGGCUGAUUAACCUCGAGUUACUUGUGAUCAAGCUAUCACUAAUCAGAAGAUCUAAUCAGAGCUUAAGCGCUUCAUCCUAAGGAUAGACGCACAGCUUGUCACCUAAAGCCAUAUGGCUGCUUCAAGGAUCAGGCAGUGCUAACUGAAGGACGGGCAGCCUGGCCCAGGCUACCACUUAAGGUCAUACGCUGAAUCUGUAGCCGCAGUUUACACAGGGACGAGCGACUGCAGCCGCUAUGAUCACAACAAGCACAGAGGAGAGGAGCGUAUACAGAUCAGCACCAAAGUUGGGUCUGUAUGCCUGUAGAUUUAAAAGAAAAUUGGGAUGAACGCUUGUGGAUGAGGCAAAGGGCGAAGACGAAACCAUCCUGCAAUCCCCAUCAGAAGAGAGCACAGGGAAGCCACUGCUGCCACUUACAAAGCCAGGUGCACACCCAGUGUCACUGACAGAUCCCCGUUAUCACCUGAUUGGAACCAUCCCCCCCCCCAGAAAACAGGAGGAUGAAAAUUUUAGAGCUGUUUUCCAUAAUGCUUCAAUUAUUGUAGAACAUGAAUUUAAACAGCCCUGUCAUUCCUUGGCAGUCCCAAGGACUAAUGAGGAAUGACUCAGCUUGCUGGAAGCCCACACUGCAGGUAUGGGCAGGUGGCUUGGGCCUCCCCUGAGCUGUGAGGGAAAGAUCUAUUUGAGACCCCCCUCCUUGGCUUGUGGAGGGCCACCUUUUUCUGUUUCUGUCUCUGUGCCCCAACUUUUCUUCCUCAUAAGAACACUUGCCACACUGGGCCAGGGUCCACUCUAAGAAUCUCAUGGUUGAUCUGCCAGUCUCUGCGAAGACCUAAUUUCAAGUAAGGUCAUACAAAACACCAGGAAUUUAGAGUCUUGGGGGUACACAUUUCAAGCUGUAGCGUAAGAAAUUUCAUGCACUGCCUUUAUCA
rnacentral:sRNA from 1 species